CUACGGUAACCGCUCUGUACAAUUGUGGUGAGAAGAAUAGCAUCUCAGAAUGCUAUUCUGAGAUUCAGGUUGGCGCUGUUUUGGCGGAACGAGGGGGACCUACACAAUAUUAGACAGGUGGUUUUAAAGUUGUGGCUGAUAUUGGACUUGUUUUCGUGACUCAUCUACGCUUUUGAGUGGCUGUAUUAUCGGAGUGAGCCCGCUAGAGGGAAGCACAGGCUAAUGAUUCUUAAGUUCCUCUGACAAAUGUCAAGCGCUGUAAUGCUCUCCUCUUUACACUGAUUUUAUGACAUUAUAGUUAUUAAAAGACGCUCAAAUAAUGUUAAAACACAUUAUUUAAUGUGUAUGAGAGAUGUCACAUCGCGAAAAUACACAAAUACGAAGACCUUGAUAACACAACAUGCUAUCAUCGUCACCACACACACACACACACACGCGCGCGCGCCCACGCUGCUCAUAUUCCAACACGCAGACUGGCUUUUCAAAAUUUUACCUUCCGUUUUCUCAUCUCCAUGGCCACAUCAGAUGUAUCUUGUGUUGUGCAGAGCGGAAGAUCUCAAAGUGACCCGAGCACCCUUACCGACACUCGUGUCGUUUAUAUGAACAGCACAGGUGAGACCGUUAUUUCACUAUCCAUGGAAAAAUAUUACAGCUGCGAAUGCAAUGCCAGUCUAUAAAGUCUGAUUUGAACUCAAAUGGGCAUUUGAGGAGCGACUGCGGUAGAGUUACAUAUGGAACAGCUGCUGCUUUGUAGAAAAUAAAAUAAAAAUGCUGUUAAAACUGAUAAGAUGUCAAGAUAGACAUAAAUUCUAGAGGCAUUGCCAAUUCAGUGGCUGAUGAUGUUGAUGAAUCAUGAUGAUGAACUGCAUCAAUAACAUACUUUGUUCAUCCUUUUGCAAUGCAAAAUGUGUUGUGUUGUGCUGGUGCUGAUGUUGCUGUGACGUGCUGGGGUUCCCCAUGACUGAUGAAUGCUAUGGGUUGCACCUUCUAAAAUGCAGCUUGCCCAACAUAAUUUGUUAGAUUUGGUAGUCUGGCACAAGGAACAGUUUACCCAAAAUGCAAAUUAUGCCAUCAUUUACCCACUCAUGUCUUAAAAAACCUUUAUAACUUUCAUUCACUGUCUGUCACUCACUCGACGUUAUGUUGAUGUAGUGACACUAGGGGUUCGCUCGAGAGCCCCAAUCACCUUUGCUUUAUUCAGAAGAACCGAUCAAGGAUCCCUUCCAAGGCAUGUAAGUUUUCUUCGUAACCCUCACAAAAACGUACGGCAUUUUUACAUUUUCAAUAAAACAUCGUUUAGUAUGUUUUUUUAAGUGAUUUAAAUUAUGGAUAAUUAUGAUAAUUAUCAUAAACCACAUUUACAGCAUAAUACCCUUGUAAUUACCAGUUUGUAACCUAAAAAAAAGUCGUAAACCACUUAAACCACUUUUUUUGUAGCUUUUUUUUAUUUAUUUAUUUAUUUAUUUAUUUUAGCUUUUUUCCACAUUCUCUUUUUUCUUCUUAACUUUGGUGAUUUCAUCAUGGAGGUUGUUUGUUUCUUUAAUCCAUAAAAUUUAACUAAAUUUGGUAAUUAAUGAUUUAAUUCAUAUAAUCAAACAAGCUUAAAGUGGUUAAGGGAACUGUGGUUUUGAAGAAGAAGAAGAAGAAGAAAAAAAAAAAAAAAGAAAAAAACCCUCACCAUCUCUGCUUUGAGUUUCAAGACAUGCGAACUAGCUGCGACAUCUAGUGACGACACUUGGUGGGCUUUUGGAGCUGCUAGAUUAACCGCCAGAACAGCAGAAGAACUUCUAGCUUACUACCGCGGUCAGCUAUUUUGGGCUGGUAGGGGGUCUGAUUGUAAAAGAAACUGUCUGGAGAAUAAUGCCAAAACUAAUAACGAACCAACUGGUGAAGCAAAUUAACUGGCGUGGAGUGAAUGGGAAUUAUGGCUUUGAACCAUUUGCCAUUAAAGAUGUUGUCCUCAAAUCUGAGAAGAAAUGCAAGUAUUGCCAGUGCGUCGGACGGAGACAUUGAAAAGUUCAUAAAAAGAUGGCUGCAGCUUGCAUCUGACAGAGAUGGGGGAAGAAGAGAACGUGCCCUAAAGCAAGCAAAUUCUUUCUAAGGGUACACUUACUUGAGGAGGGUCCUGAGGUUUUCUCAUUUUUUUGUUUUGCAUUUGUUCAUGCCAGUUUUUGCUAGUUCAUAUAAAGCUGUAUGUUAAUGUAAGGGUUCAAAUAAAUUAUCAUAUUUCUC